UACAGAGGUCCCGAGCGUUGUUCGGAUUCAUUGGGCGUAAAGGGUGUAUAGGCGGUCGGGUAAGUCAGGUGUGAAAUCUCACAGCUUAACUGUGAAACUGCGCUUGAUACUGCUCGGCUAGAGGAUCGGAGGGGGUAACGGAAUUUAUGGUGUAGCAGUGAAAUGCGUAGAUAUCAUAAGGAACACCGGUGGCGAAGGCGGUUACCUGGAAGAUUCCUGACUCUGAAACACGAAAGCCAGGGGAGCAAACGGG
rnacentral:rRNA from 1 species